rnacentral:lncRNA from 1 species
GGAAGCCUGAUCUGCACAGAGUGGCUGUGCAAUGGGGUCCAAACCCUUCCAGUUCUUCACCCUUUGCCUAAUCUUGGAGUUCAGGCCACUUCCUAAAUGCCUCCUCCACUGACUUCUAUGGCCACAAUAGCUCUGGAUUAAUCCUCAGAAAUUUGGUAAAUCAACAGAAAAAAUGAGAUCAAAGAGACAAGAUAUUCCGACAUUGUCUUCAACAGUUUAAACUUCACCCCUAGUCUUUUAACAAAAAAAAAAUAGUGAGCCUGGAGCUUGGCUAAACGAUCUGCAGUCAACAGAAGUGUCCCUUCAAUUUCUGCACAAAGACUGUCUCCAACACAAGAACUCACAAUGGGAAAAGAAACCACCCCUGACUUGUCACUUUCCUCCCUCUGAAAGCAUGGAGGGAAUGGGCAGUUAUAAGAGGGAAAUAGCAGCUUGCUGGGUCCCUUGAAAACUAAAUCAAGCACCAGAACUGAUGCACAGAAAAAAGCAAUUUAAUCCUAGCAAAAGAACUGCUGCAGAUUUCUUUCAUUGUUGAGCAGUGAGUGAGACGAGCAGCAGACUGUACCCAAAACUGGAAGCUGUCACCACUGAUUUCCUGCGCUCCUAGGGUAGCACCAUCAUGGCCACUGUGAAAUUGCAUGGUAACAACCUGACCCCUUUCUGUCAAACAGAAAAUUUAGUUGGUGAACUGUUCUGAAGCCCGCAGCCAAAAGGAAUUUUUCAGUGCCUCCCUGCACUCCUACCAUUCAUUUCUGACUUACCCAGACAACUCUUAGCAUACUCAAGGGAGAAGGUUAGGAGACAACUACGUAAUGCAAGAACAUAAAGUUAUAGACUUUCUGUGACAAUAAAGCUAGUAUAAUAAAGAAUAUUAAAGCA